rnacentral:rRNA from 1 species
GCAGGUGGCAAGCGUUGUCCGGAAUUAUUGGGCGUAAAGCGCGCGCAGGUGGUUCUUUAAGUCUGAUGUGAAAGACCCCCGGGCUCAACCGGGGAGGGUCAUUGGAAACUGGGGAACUUGAGUGCAGGAGAGGAAAGUGGAAUUCCACGUGUAGCGGUGAAAUGCGUAGAUAUGUGGAGGAACACCAGUGGCGAAGGCGACUUUCUGGCCUGUAACUGACACUGAGGCGCGAAAGCGUGGGGAGCAAACAGGAUUAGAUACCCUGGUAGUCCACGCCGUAAACGAUGAGUGCUAAGUGUUGGGGGGUUUCCGCCCCUCAGUGCUGCAGCUAACGCAUUAAGCACUCCGCCUGGGGAGUACGGUCGCAAAGACUG